rnacentral:SRP_RNA from 1 species
CUCGGCGCCCCCGUGCGCUUGGCGGAGGAGCCCGCCGACUUGCCGUACACCAUAGAAUACACGUACCUAAUCCUCUCCAAGGACGGAACCACACUCUGGGAGGAGGAUUUGGGCGACUACGAGCCGCUGCCCCGGUUCGGCGGAGGUGCCGAGG